GAGAAUGCAAGUCGAACGAACGAACUCGGGCUUGCCCGGGCAAGUGAGUGGCGGACGGCUGAGUAACGCGUGGGUGACCUGCCCAGAAGUGGGGAAUAACUACCCGAAAGGGUUGCUAAUACCGCAUGUGGCCACACGUUCAUUCGUGUGACUAAAGCCGCAAGGCGCUUCUGGAGGGGCCUGCGUUCGAUUAGCUCGUUGGUGAGGUAACGGCUCACCAAGGCGACGAUCGAUAGGUGGUCUGAGAGGACGAUCACCCAGACUGGGACUGAGACACGGCCCAGACUCCUACGGGAGGCAGCAGUCGGGAAUUUUGCUCAAUGGGCGAAAGCCUGAAGCAGCAACGCCGCGUGAGGGAUGAAUGCCUUCGGGUUGUAAACCUCUUUUCUCAGGGACGAUAAUGACGGUACCUGAGGAAUAAGCCACGGCUAACUACGUGCCAGCAGCCGCGGUAAUACGUAGGUGGCGAGCGUUGUCCGGAUUUACUGGGCGUAAAGAGUGCGCAGGCGGCCGAGUAAGUCGAAUGUGAAAGCCCCCGGCUCAACUGGGGAGAGUCAUUCGAUACUGCACGGCUUGAAGGUAGGAGAGGGAAGCGGAAUUCCCGGUGUAGCGGUGAAAUGCG
rnacentral:rRNA from 1 species